rnacentral:rRNA from 1 species
GUUGAUAACGGCUCACAUAACGUGUCGC